CUCCAUGCAAGAACACUGGAGUGGGUUGCCAUUUCCUUCUCCAGGUGUACUUAAUACUGAAGAAUGGGAGUGGGAGGAGCAUCCACAACUCAAAAGGCUAGAAAGGCUCAGAGGCUGUGUGUGGGCAGUGAUUCUUCUCCCAGUGCAGGGUUUGAUGUGAGAACCUCUUCUCUGAGGGCAAGAGUGAGCGGAGUGAGAAGAGGGUUUGAGGGUUUCAGUUACUUCUGAAAAAGAAGCAGCAUCGCUUCAUGUGAGAAGAAAUGAAGUACCACACUGAAGAAGGAUCUCAUUUGCAUGCAUUGCUCUUCCCAGCUCCUGUCCUGUGUACCCUUCAGGUCUUCCCACUUAAAAUUGCAUGUGGAGAAGGUAAUGGCAGCCCACUCCAGCAUACUUGUCUGGAGAAUUCCAUGGUUGGAAGAAACUGGUGGGCUACAGUCCAUGAUGUCGCAAAGAAUCAGGCACGACUGAGUGACUUUCACUUCACAAGCAUAUGCCGUGUUGCUUUGUGUGUCUUUAAACAUUUAAAUAAAUCAUGCUUUUAUAUAUUGGCAUUUAUCUUGAUUUUUUUAUUUAACAUUAUGUUUUUGAUAUUUAUGCAGGUUGCUACAUUCAGAUUUAAUUAAGUCCUUGCCAUAGUAAAAGGUAUGUUAACUUUUAGAUGUAUCAAUAUAAUAUGAAUGUCUUUAAUCCUUCUCUAGGAUCACUUUUUACUAUUAAAGCAUGUAGCACAGGGAACUAUUAUCAAUAUCUUUAAUAACCUGUAAUGGAAAAGAAUCUAAAAAGAAAGUAUACCUAUAUCUUAAUCUCUUUGCUGUAAACCUGGAACUAACACAACACUGUAAAUUAUAUUUCCAUAAAAAUUAAAAAAUCUAAGCCUCUUUCCUCAGUGACUGCAUGUGGUCCAGGCCUCUCCCAAAAUUUUAUCUAAGGAUUCCCAAUAAUGCUUUCACCCAAUCAGUUGUCAAUUAUCAAGAACUUAUGAGCUUGCAAUGAUUGCUGUAAAAGAUAUUUGUUGAUGUACUCCUAGAAAAGAAAAAGUAUGCUUGAGUGAAAUAAAUUAGCUCCAAAUAAAAAAAUCUUAUUUGACAGACUUUUACAAAACUGUUCACAUUUUUCUAAGUUCAGCUAGAAGGAGGAGUCUGUCACUAGAAUUAAAAAUAACUCUGUUCCCAGAAUUCCAUAAUGGGUAAGAAAGUUCAAAAGAAUAAAAAUGUUUAAAGAUAAUACUGCUACUGCUACAAAAAGGCUUUAGAUAUAUUAACUAUUUUGAAGAUGAGUUCUAUUUUACCCGCCUUUAUUGUGUCUAAUAAUCAUAUAAAACAAGG
rnacentral:lncRNA from 1 species